rnacentral:rRNA from 1 species
CCAGUUAGCCGAAGGCGAGCGAGAGGAGGAUCAUUACCGAGUUUACAACUCCCAAACCCAUGUGAACAUACCUACUGUUGCUUCGGCGGGAUUGCCCCGGGCGCCUCGUGUGCCCCGGAUCAGGCGCCCGCCUAGGAACUUCAACUCUUGUUUUAUUUUGAAUCUUCUGAGUAGUUUUUACAAAUAAAUAAAAACUUUCAACAACGGAUCUCUUGGUUCUGGCAUCGAUGAAGAACGCAGCGAAAUGCGAUAAGUAAUGUGAAUUGCAGAAUUCAGUGAAUCAUCGAAUCUUUGAACGCACAUUGCGCCCGCCAGUAUUCUGGCGGGCAUGCCUGUCUGAGCGUCAUUUCAACCCUCAGGCCCCUUGGGCGUGGUGUUGGGGAUCGGCCAAAGCCCGCGAGGGACGGCCGGCCCCUAAAUCUAGUGGCGGACCCGUCGUGGCCUCCCCUGCGAAGUAGUGAUAUUCCGCAUCGGAGAGCGACGAGCCCCUGCCGUUAAACCCCCGACUUUCCAAGGUUGACCUCAAAUCAGGUAGGAAUACCCGCUGAACUUAAGCAUAUCAAUUAUGCGGACGCACCUC